GGAUUAGGCAUGCAAGUCGCACGAGAAAGGUUUCUUCGGAAGCCGAGUACAGUGGCGAACGGGUGAGUAAUGCAUAGACAACUCGCCCUUGAGAUGGGGACAACGCCUCGAAAGGGGUGCUAAUACCCAAUGCCGCCUUGGGCCUGCGGGUCCAGGGUGAAAGGAGGCCUCUGAUUCAAGCUUCCGCUCAAGGAGAGGUUUAUGUCCUAUUAGCUAGUUGGUGGGGUAACGGCCCACCAAGGCUGCGAUGGGUAGCCGACCUGAGAGGGUGACCGGCCACAUUGGGACUGAGACACUGCCCAGACUCCUACGGGAGGCUGCAGUCGAGAAUCUUCCGCAAUGCGCGCAAGCGUGACGGAGCGACGCCGCGUGGGUGAUGAAGGCCUUCGGGUUGUAAAACCCUGUCAGCUACUACGAAACACGGGCGAUGAACAAUCGUCCCGUCUGACUUAAGUAGCAGAGGAAGCACCGGCUAACUACGUGCCAGCAGCCGCGGUAAUACGUAGGGUGCAAACGUUGUUCGGAAUCACUGGGCAUAAAGGGCGCGUAGGCGGUCUGAUAAGUCAGGUGUGAAAUCCCUCGGCCUAACCGAGGAACUGCAUUUGAUAUUGUCGGGCUAGAGUACAGGAGGGGAGAGUGGAAUUCCUGGUGGAGCGGUGAAAUGCGUAGAUAUCAGGAGGAACGCCGGCGGCGAAAGCGACUCUCUGGCCUGUUACUGACGCUGAGGCGCGAAAGCUAGGGGAGCAAACGGGAUUAGAUACCCCGGUAGUCCUAGCCCUAAACGAUGGGCACUAAGUAGAGGGGUUUU
rnacentral:rRNA from 1 species